rnacentral:lncRNA from 1 species
GAUGGCAGUUGUGGUGUAAGGAUGCUGAAAGAGAUUGCCAUGCUAGAAAGUAUACCUGCUUUAAUCAUUGAAAGGUGGAAAAAGCAUGUGAUGCUGAUUGAAUGUGACCGCUGAACUGUAUCAAGAGAAAUGCCAUCAGAAUUUCCUCUGCUUCCUGGACUUGGUGUUUGUUUUAUGUACAGACAAAUUGUGACUUUAAGGAAUUUUAGAAGAGCUAUGACCAUGGCAAACAUUUAUUUAUUGUAAUGUAUAUGACUAUACAAUGAGUGGUAAGACUUUUAAAGCUCAAAUGCAGAGCUUAAUGCUUGACUGUGUAUGAACGUCUUGGGUUUCACAUAAUCUGCUCUGGUUUUUGCUCUUUCAAAUCCUACACUUUCCUGGGCAUUGUAUAAGAAACUGUUUACUUCACUGUGGCAUUUGGUGAGGUUAAACAUUUUGGCAUCUGUGAUUUUUAGAUCUGAAUUUCUGAGGAGCCAUGCACCAAAAGGUGAAAUUGUUUUGUAGUGUGUAGGCAGUUCUAAAUUGAUUGUUGCUGUUAACUUGUUAAAGUGUCUUUCUGUUAUUACAAUUUUGUGGCUUAUACCUGUUGUACAUCAAUGGCCCUUUGGGUUCACAUGUCUUAUGGUGCCUUUUUAUUAAAAAACUUUUUUUUUUUUCUAAGCAUGACUCUUACAUCUUAUUACUGAUGUGACCAUAGUUUUAGACCCUAUACUGACAUCUAUUGAUAUUAAACCGUUUUGUCUGUGCUGCCACCACUAUAUCUGGAAUGUAUCAAGUGUUUGAGGUGAUCUCGUUCUCCCUCCCUUUUAAGCUGAAAGGACAUAGUAUGUAAGGCUGCACAAUUAAUCAAAUGCGAUUUGUCAUGCGCAUUUUGAUAGUAAUGCCAGUUCUGAAAUCAGCAGUAAAUCAUCACGUGCUUUCAGGUGGAGCAGAA